rnacentral:rRNA from 1 species
CCGCCUGUUUAUCAAAAACAUAGUUUUAUGAAUAUAUAUAAAAUAUUUUCUGCCCAAUGUAUUAAAAUAAAUGGCCGCAGUACCUUGACUGUGCUAAGGUAGCGUAAUCAAUUGGCUUUUAAUUGAAGUCUAGUAUGAAAGGGAUAAUGAAAUUUUUCUGUCUUAAAAACUUUAAUUAAAAUUUAUUUAAAAGGUGAAAAUACCUUUUUAAAAAAUAAAGACGAGAAGACCCUAUGAAUUUUUAUUUUUUUUGUUGGGGCGACAAUUUAACACUUUAAUCUUAAAUUAUAUAAAUAUAUCGAUUAUAUUAAUUUAAAAAAAAUUACCUUAGGGAUAACAGCAUUAUUGUUAAAACAGUUUGUGACCUCGAUGUUGGACUAGGAACUAUAAGGCUAGCCGUC